UAUGAUCUCCCCCAGACAUACGCAAUGCUUUAGCUAAUACACGGAAAUGCAUACCAUGAUUUUUCUGUCUAUCAAUAACUGCAUGCAUUGCACGGUGAAUGUGAAGAAGUAGGCCAUUGGCGCGGCAAUAAUGAGCCAAAGUAGUAUUUGCGGUGAAUCCCCCAGUUAAGUAGUCAUGCAUUACAAUAGGAACCCCUAAUUCUCUUGCAAAUACAGCUCUCUUAAUCAUUUCUUCACAUGUACCCGCAGUCGCAUUCAAGUAAUGCCCCUUGAUUUCACCGGUUUCGGCCUGUGAUUUAUAAAUA
rnacentral:lncRNA from 1 species